AGUGAACGCUGGCGGCAGGCCUAACACAUGCAAGUCGAACGGCAGCACAAGAGAGCUUGCUCUCUGGGUGGCGAGUGGCGGACGGGUGAGGAAUGCAUCGGAAUCUGCCCAUUUGUGGGGGAUAACCUCGGGAAACCGGGACUAAUACCGCAUACGACCUACGGGUGAAAGCAGGGGAGCUUCGGACCUUGCGCAGAUGGAUGAGCCGAUGCCGGAUUAGCUAGUUGGAGGGGUAAAGGCCCACCAAGGCGACGAUCCGUAGCUGGUCUGAGAGGAUGACCCGCCACCCUGUGACUGAGACACGCCCCACACUCCUACGGUAGGCAGCAGUGGGGAAUAUUGGACAAUGGGCGCAAGCCUGAUCCAGCCAUGCCGCGUGUGUGAAGAAGGCCUUCGGGUUGUAAAGCACUUUUGUUGGGAAAGAAAAGCAGCCGUUUAAUACCCGAUUGUCAUGACGGUACCCAAAGAAUAAGCACCGGCUAACUUCGUG
rnacentral:rRNA from 1 species